GCUAUUUGGCAGUUCUCCUGUUAUGUAAAGUUGAAGAAAGUGAAUCUUCCGUUUCAUUUUAUUACAGUUUGCUGCAAGCCAGACGGGAACGGAGAGGAACGCUUUCUGCUUGCCAAUGAGUAAUGCUGUGUUCAAAAUAAACAACCGGAGAGGGGAUUGUUGGGUGGAGAACUGCCUCCCAGUUUAGAAGAUCUUGCAGCACAUGAUGGG
rnacentral:lncRNA from 1 species